CCCAGCACAGACCCAGGACCUGGUGUGCAUGGGGGAUGGAAGUAUGGGGAAGGCUGCUCCAGACUUGCGAAGGUGUCAGAGCCAGGCCUGGGCUCGCCCAGUGGCCUCCGCACCAACUUCACCACAAGGCAGCUGACAGAACUGGAAAAGGAGUUCCAUUUCAACAAGUACCUGAGCCGGGCCCGGAGGGUGGAGAUUGCCGCCACCCUGGAGCUCAAUGAAACACAGGUCAAGAUUUGGUUCCAGAACCGACGAAUGAAGCAGAAGAAGCGCGAGCGAGAGGAAGGUCGGGUCCCCCCAGCCCCACCAGGCUGCCCCAAGGAGGCAGCUGGAGAUGCCUCAGACCAGUCGACAUGCACCUCCCCGGAAGCCUCACCCAGCUCUGUCACCUCCUGAACUGAACCUAGCCACCAAUGGGGCUUCCAGGCACUGGAGCGCCCCAGUCCAGCCCUAUCCCAGGCUCUCCCCAACCCCAGGCCUGGGCUUCACUGGCCUGGGGAUCCUCUCUAGGGCUGAAAUGCCAGUUUAGAGCUGCCUGGGGGUGGGAGGGGGGAUGGGGAAACAUUUUUCUCAGACCUGGGUGGCUGGGGGCCCUACAGGACCAGAGGCCUGGGAGGCAUGGAACCUGUCAAAUGUAGAGGGAAGGGCUUCUGCCUUUGAUCUGGGGAUCAGCUCAGUGUCAACAUGUGGUGGGGGUGGGGGCCAGCCUCAUCCUCCUGGAUUCAUCCUCCUUUCCCUUCCAACUUGGGUUUAUUCGGUUCAGUGCCUUCGAGCUUUGAGGAGUCUCCUCACGCACUCUUAUCCUAACUCCCCCUUCUAGGCCUGACACAGAACCUUAAAUUUUCUUGUGUGGGAGGUGUUUGGGUGCAGCCAUAUUAUUAUCAAUGCUUAAUCCAGUCACCACAGACCUUACAAUAGCACCAGCUGCCUUGUGACAGACCAAAAAGCCCCCCGCCCCCAUCUAACCCCAUUAGCCCUCUCCUGGCAUAUUUAUAUUGCACUAAUGCAGCCUUCAGAGGUUGUUUUCUGAGACCUGCCUCCUCACACCAGCGACCUCAUCACUAUGUCACCAAAGUGUUUUGGAACUUGGUAUUCCAGAGACUUCUGGAACGCCGUGCAAGGCCUGCCCCCAGCAAGCCACAACCAGGAAGGUGCAGGCACGCCCCCACUAGCUCCUCCCCUAUUUAUUGCCUCCUGGAAAACCCAGGACCCUCUUCCCCAUCUCCACCCCUACCCCUGGGGGCAGCCCAGGGAGAGCCAGGCACAAUGAGGGCUCCCAACAGCUGCAAGGAUUUAUCUGAACCUUUGAGAAAGAGGAGGAGCCAUCUAAGUUUCUGGAAACCUGAGCCCCAAGUGAGCCCGGGUUCUCUCUGUACCUGCAACUACCUCAUUUCAAUAAAGUCUGUGUUUUCC
rnacentral:lncRNA from 1 species